UACGUAGGGUGCAAGCGUUAAUCGGAAUUACUGGGCGUAAAGCGUGCGCAGGCGGUUAUGCAAGACAGAUGUGAAAUCCCCGGGCUCAACCUGGGAACUGCAUUUGUGACUGCAUGGCUAGAGUGCGGCAGAGGGGGAUGGAAUUCCGCGUGUAGCAGUGAAAUGCGUAGAUAUGCGGAGGAACACCGAUGGCGAAGGCAGCCCCCUGGGCUAGCACUGACGCUCAGGCACGAAAGCGUGGGGAGCAAACAGG
rnacentral:rRNA from 1 species